UACAGAGGGGGGCAAGCGUUGUUCGGAAUUACUGGGCGUAAAGGGCGCGUAGGCGGCCUGCUAAGUCGAACGUGAAAUCCCUGGGCUCAACCCAGGAACUGCGUCCGAUACUGGUUAGCUUGAAUCCGGGAGAGGGACGUGGAAUUCCAGGUGUAGCGGUGAAAUGCGUAGAUAUCUGGAGGAACACCGGUGGCGAAGGCGGGUCUCUGGGCAGUAACUGACGCUGAGGAGCGAAAGCGUGGGGAGCGAACAGG
rnacentral:rRNA from 1 species